UACGGAGGAGGCAAGCGUUAUCCGGAAUUAUUGGGCGUAAAGCGUCCGCAGGUGGCACUUCAAGUCUGUCGUCAAAGACUGGGGCUUAACCCUGGAAAGGCGGUGGAAACUGAAGCGCUAGAGUGCGGUAGGGGUAGAGGGAAUUCCCGGUGUAGCGGUGAAAUGCGUAGAGAUCGGGAAGAACAUCGGUGGCGAAAGCGCUCUACUGGACCGCAACUGACGCUGAGGCGCGAAAGCUAGGGGAGCAAACAGG
rnacentral:rRNA from 1 species